ACCACUGUUGUUUGAUGAGCUCGUGAAAAACGGAGCGAGGAAAAAAAAGAAUAUAAUAAUAGGCGCAAAUAGAAAUGUAAAUGGAACCGCCAGUGACAAGCUAACAGGCUAACAAGCUGCACUUGCGGUUUUAAAAGCGGACGAUCAAAUUAGUUAGAUUAGUUUGAAAGAUAACACCAGAAAUAAUUAAGUUAUAUAUUAUCACUUUAGACAAAAGGGAGCAGCACAACAGACUGAAGCAAAAGAGUGUAGUCUCAAUAUAAGUAUAAGUAUCUCAAAGGUUUUUUUUUCCUCCUUAUAAUCUAAAAGCACUUGUUUUAUGCAGUCAAUGCGUCAUGCGAUGAUUGGCGUGCGUGUCUUCCCGCCCCUUCUCAUUUGAAAAAAAAAAAAAAAAAACCAAGAGCAACCGUUUGCUACUCGCCACUUGAACACGGUCGGGCACCUCCGUGUCAGUGGAUAAACUCUCUUAUCAAGACAACACAAGAGAGUGGAAUGAGUUGCAUUGUAGGCGUUAUUAGGUUUUAGGUGUUACCAAACAUCUCCCCAUGCGAUGGCAUGGCACCAUGAUGGAUUUAUUGUGAAGAUGAAAGCUCACAAGAGUGUGCAUGGCUGUCAGACCAGGGGGAGACUCGUCGUGAAGUCCUAAGAGCAUGUUAAAUUUCGGCACUAGCAGCCCAAUGGGGAGACUCGUGAAGACGACAAGUUGUACGAGUGCGUUAAAUAGUGGUGCUGGCUGACCAGCUGGACCAUCGUGAGGCAGGCGGGAAGAGUCGUUGCCAUAAAGAAGACCAUUUUAAAUGUUUUGAGAUGAUAUGUGUUCUCUGAUUAUUGUUGUAUAGUCUUAAUAAUUAAGUACAUUAAGUCUUCAAACUUUUAUUUUUAUAUUUACACCAUUUAUUUUCCACUGGCACAAUGUGUUAUCUGUGAUUUUACUUGUAGGCUAUAUGUAUGUUCACUGAUGAAAUCUGGUUAAUAUGCUGGCAAUUCUGUGUUAUUGAAGUUCAGCUGUGAAAUAUAAAAGAUGAUUUGUGAAUAAAGCUGUUGGUGUGAAGCAAUAACUUGUGUCAUUGAAUAUAUAACAAAAAAUAAAAAAUAAUAGUACACUUAAAGCUACUGUACUUAGUUUCACAGUAAUUUUACUGUGGUAUGAAAUACUGCAACUACUGGAUAAUUGUUGCCAGUAAGUUACUGUUAAUUUGACAAUAAACAUUUUACGGUUAUACACUCUUUUGAAAUCAAACUGCGUUGCUGUGUAGGCUGUCUUGCAACAAAAAUAGCUCCUAGAACAUAAUUACAUUUCUAAACUGAACAGCGUCACUUUUAACUUGUUCAUAUUACCUUUAGUAGCAUAACUAUCCCUUUAAGUGACAGUUUUGUCACUUAGGCAGAAAUAUGAA